CUGCCUUUAUGUUGACAAGAAAAAAAGAAGAGAAGAAGCGCGGUCCUCUUAUGACACGACUGAAUCAGCUGGGUAUCGAUUGUGCAGAAGUGUUGCUGUAUAUGUUGUUAUAGUUGUAAUAUUUAAUACUAUUGUGAUAUUCAAGAUUUGUACAUUCAUUCAGCUCUGGAUAACUGAAAACAGCGAUUAGACCUUCAGAGCGGCAUUAAUGCGUCCUGAAGUAAAGCGAAACGGCUAUAAACUCCAGCAAGAUAGAGUGAUUAUAUACAGAGCCAUAUACCUUUAUCUAUAAAUAAAGUAUAACUAUAGAAACUGUGUUCAUCUUAACUGAAAGCUUUGUCAUGUUUCCUGGCCUCACGCAUCGCGCACCUGUCAGUCAGCACGUAACUCUCAAAGGGUCAAACAGAAAGCGCACAGCACGGUUACAGAAAAUUUUGCGCUGAGUCGGGACAUCUGGUGAACGCCCAUCCCUCUCUGCGCAGCCACAUUAACAGUGUGAGCAAAGCAUCGUAUAUGCGGUGAAAAUCCGGCCGCUUUGACAGCAUUGGCAAUGUUUCUGUCGUUGUCUGUUGUCAAGCGGGGUUACGUUGGUUUUGUUUUUGAUAUUCCUGACACAUUCAGAUGGUCCCUUACUAAGAGCUCUGUGCGAGCUCUCCCGGCUAAACGCAUAUUGCGAGGGCUUAAACGCAGCAAUGC
rnacentral:lncRNA from 1 species